rnacentral:rRNA from 1 species
AACGAACGCUGGCGGCAUGCCUAACACAUGCAAGUCGAACGAAGGCUUCGGCCUUAGUGGCGCACGGGUGCGUAACGCGUGGGAAUCUGCCCUUGGGUCUGGGAUAACGGCGGGAAACUGCCGCUAAUACCGGAUGAUAUCGCGAGAUCAAAGAUUUAUCGCCUGAGGAUGAGCCCGCGUAGGAUUAGGUAGUUGGUGUGGUAAAGGCGCACCAAGCCGACGAUCCUUAGCUGGUCUGAGAGGAUGAUCAGCCACACUGGGACUGAGACACGGCCCAGACUCCUACGGGAGGCAGCAGUGGGGGAAUAUUGGACAAUGGGCGCAAGCCUGAUCCAGCAAUGCCGCGUGAGUGAUGAAGGCCUUAGGGUUGUAAAGCUCUUUUACCCGGGAAGAUAAUGACUGUACCGGGAGAAUAAGCCCCGGCUAACUCCGUGCCAGCAGCCGCGGUAAU